rnacentral:rRNA from 1 species
CUACGGGUUGCUCCAGGCGCGAAAUCUCCGCAAUGCGCGAAAGCGUGACGGGGGAAUCCCAAGUGCUUCCCUACAAGGGUGGCUUUUCUUGAGUUUAAAAAUCUUAAGGAAUAAAGGCUGGGUAAGACCGGUGCCAGCCUCCGCGGUAACACCGGCAGCCUGAGUGGUACUCACGUUUAUUGGGCUUAGAGCGUCCGUAGUCGGUUUAGUAAGUCCCCUGUGAAAUCCACCCGCUUAACGGGUGGGCUGGCAAGGGAUACUGCUUGACUUGGGGCCGGGAAGGGCCAGGGGUAUUCUUGGGGUAGCGGUGAAAUGUUAUAAUCCCAGGAAGACCAUCUGUGGCGAAGGCGCCUGGCUGGAACGGGCCCGACGAUGAGGGACGAAAGCUAGGGGAGCGAACCGGAUUAGAUACCCCUGUAGUC